rnacentral:rRNA from 1 species
GACGAACGCUGGCGGCGUGCCUAACACAUGCAAGUCGUGCGAGAAAGUUCCUUCGGGAGCGAGUAAAGCGGCGCACGGGUGAGUAACACGUAGGUAACCUGCCCCCAGUCUGGAACAACUAGAGGAAACUCUAGCUAAUGCCGGAUGAGACCACGAUCCCUUCGGGGGUUGCGGCCAAAGAUGGCCUCUACUUGUAAGCUAUCGCUGAGGGAUGGGCCUGCGGGCCAUUUAGCUUGUUGGUGAGGUAACGGCUCACCAAGGCUGUGAUGGCUAGCUGGUCUGAGAGGAUGA